rnacentral:rRNA from 1 species
GUGGGGAAUAUUGGGCAAUGGGGGAAACCCUGACCCAGCGACGCCGCGUGGGUGAAGAAAUCCCUCGGGAUGUAAAGCCCUGUUGUAUGGGAAGAGCAGAAGACGGUACCAUACGAGGAAGCCCCGGCAAACUACGUGCCAGCAGCCGCGGUAAUACGUAGGGGGCAAGCGUUGUCCGGAAUUACUGGGCGUAAAGCGCACGCAGGCUGAAUUAUAAGUCGGUAGUCAAAUACGGAGGCUCAACUUCCGGAUAUCUAUCGAUACUGUAAAUCUAGAGUAUGUGAGAGGGAAGCGGAAUUCCCGGGGUAGCGGUGAAAUGCGUAGAUAUCGGGAGGAACACCAGUGGCGAAGGCGGCUUCCUGGCACAAUACUGACGCUCAUGUGCGAAAGCUAGGGCAGCGAACGGGAUUAGAUACCCGGGUAGUCC